AUUGAACGCUGGCGGCAUGCCUUACACAUGCAAGUCGAACGGCAGCACGGGGGCAACCCUGGUGGCGAGUGGCGAACGGGUGAGUAAAGCAUCGGAACGUGCCCAGUAGUGGGGGAUAGCUCGGCGAAAGCCGGAUUAAUACCGCAUACGACCUACGGGUGAAAGCGGGGGACCGAAAGGCCUCGCGCUAUUGGAGCGGCCGAUGUCAGAUUAGGUAGUUGGUGGGGUAAAGGCCUACCAAGCCGACGAUCUGUAGCUGGUCUGAGAGGACGACCAGCCACACUGGGACUGAGACACGGCCCAGACUCCUACGGGAGGCAGCAGUGGGGAAUUUUGGACAAUGGGCGAAAGCCUGAUUCAGCCAUGCCGCGUGCGGGAAGAAGGCCUUCGGGUUGUAAACCGCUUUUGUCAGGGAAGAAAUAUUCCGGGCUAAUACCCCGGGAGGAUGACGGUACCUGAAGAAUAAGCACCGGCUAACUACGUGCCAGCCGCCGCUGUAAGAC
rnacentral:rRNA from 1 species